GCCAGGCACCGUGGUGCGUGCCUGUAGUUCCAGCUACUUGGGAGGCUGAGGUGGGAGGAUUGCUUGAGCCCAGGAGUUCUGGGCUGUAGAGUUCUAUGCUGAUUGGGGGUGUCUGCACUAAGUUUGGCAUCAAUAUGGUGACCUCCCAGGAGUGGGGGACUACCAGGUUGCCUAAGGAGGGGUAAACUGGCCCAGGUCGGAAACGGAGCAGGUCAAAACUCCCGUGCUGAUCAGUAGUGGGAUCACGCCUGUGAAUAGCCACUGCACUCCAACUUGGGCAACAUUAAAAAAAAAAU
ensembl:misc_RNA Metazoa_SRP Metazoan signal recognition particle RNA